rnacentral:lncRNA from 12 species
AGCAAUUCUGAUACUCCUAGGUAUCAACCCCAGUGAAAUAAAAAUCUAUGUGUGCACAAAAACUGUCUAUGAAUGAUUAUAGCAGCUCCAUUCAUAAUCCCUAAAAACUGGCAACAACCCAAAUGUCCUUCCACAGGUAAAAGAAUAAAGAACCUGUGGUGACGUACCUACAAUGGCAAACUGCUCAGCAAGAAUAAGGAACAAACUAUGAAUAAAACAUAGAAUGAAUGUGUCUCGAAUGCAUUGCUAUGAGUGACAGUCUCGAAAGGUUGCACACUCUGUGAUUCCACUUACAUGGCAUUCUGGAAAAAACAAAACUACACUGAUGGGGAACUGAUGAAUGGUUGUCGAGGGUUGAGUGUGACUACAAGGAGGAUGACAGUUUUGUGGGUUGGUGAAACUGUCGUGUACUAAUUCUGGUAGUGGUUACAUGAAUGUAUAUAUGUGUUAAAGAACUGUAGAACUAUACACUGAAAAAGUCCAUUUCACUGUAUUUUAAUUGAAAAAACAGAACACGUGGAGACCACCAAAAUCGUUGGCAUGUGCCCAAACCUCCAGAGCUCAAACUUCUGUCAGUUUUCUUAUGCUCUAAGAAAGAAAAUGGUGUGUGCUCCCUAGUUAAAAAUGUUCUUGCUGAUUUAAUUCAAAACCAUAAUGGGGCUGUGUUUUUUUUUUCCCUUGGUUUGACAACAAAUGUUUUAUACAUUAAAUUAAUGGUAGUGUUUGCAUUCAAAUAUUCUGUGUCACAUAUAAAAUUAAAAGUGCCAUUUCAAAUCCACAGAAGUCAUUCCAGAAUAGUGGUACGACAUGACGAUGUGAAUAAUUUGCCCUAAAUGGAGACACUGAAACUCAUUUCCAUUAGGAAAAAAACGCUACAUUUUAUGAAAAACACAAACAAGAGAACUGUAUCAUUUCCAUUUUCAAUAUAUAACGUUCACACUUAUUUGUCCAUCUGAUAGCACUGAUCAGACCAGAGAGCUAGGACAAGACCCUUUUGCAUCAAUGGAACUCUGUGAAGGUUUCCACAGACCGUAAGGCAGGGAUUGGUGCAAGCCAAUUCAUCAGAGUGCAAUUACAUUAUAAACCUCCCUCAAACUUUCUGUAGCACAUUGCAUUAUGGUAAAAUGAGAGGUUGGUUAUCCAUUCUCUAUUAGUAGGCCAGCCUGUGGUAGUAUAAAAUUUUUUUUUUUUUAAUUUAAAAAACAAAGCAGGAGCUAUUUAGAAAACACAAUUCAAAGUAAACUAAUUUUGUAACUGCUGACUUUAAACACGUCCCAUAGUGACUGUCUGUCAGGACACACACGCGUGGAGCCCAGCACAUUCCACGAGGACAUGGCCUGGGCCACACACGAGUCUGGAGCAGCUGCCAUCUUCCCCACCCCUGUGUCAGCUCCACCUGACUCAGGCAUCCCCACAGUCUACAAAUCUGUCUGAAGUUAAAGAUGCAUUCAGAACAAGUCUAAUUCCCUCUUUCUUAGUGUUUAGUUUGGAAAUGCUUUUGAUUUUAAGUCUUAAAAAUGAUUAUUCGACUUUCAACUGAACACACAGUAUUUACUCACACUGCUCAUCUCUGCCUUCCUCAUCUCCUUCAACAUUCAGCUUCCCCACCAUCACUUCUCUCAUUCCUCCUUUCAGUCUUUCUCUUUCCUGGACUUGCUGCUACUUAAUCUGCUUCCCAAGAACAAGUGAAUUCGCUAACACGCAACUGGUCAGACUAACCACCCUCUGAUCAAUGAUUUCCUGGUCUCAUUUGCUCCACUCUGAAAGAAAGCGGGCCCUCUUUCUCUCAUCUACCUUCCCUUCCACCAGAAGCCAGCUGCACUUGCUUCCCAU